rnacentral:sRNA from 1 species
AAUUAAUGUUGGUAUUGGGCUAUGACACAAAAGCUAGAACCGUAAUCGGAUCCCAAAAGCUAAAGUAGUGUUUCCUGAUUAGAAGAUACAAAUACAAACACUCAUACGGACUUUGGCUACACGAUUAAAGCUUUGAGAAGCAAGAUGAAGUUUGGUUAGUGUUUUGGAGUCAAAUAUGACUAGAUGUCAUGUGUAUGAUUGAAUAUAAACACUAGAACCGCAACCAGAUACCAAAAGCUAAAGUAGUGUUUCCUUAUUAGAAGAUACAAAGACAAAGACUCAUACGAACUACGGCUACAGCAUCAAAGAUUUGAGAAGCAAGAAGAAGCUUGGUUAGUGUUUUGGUUU